rnacentral:sRNA from 1 species
GUUGCGGGGGAUCGCCGUCCGUCAGCGCGUUGCGCCCACGGGCGCCAUCCCG